rnacentral:ncRNA from 2 species
UGAGAAUACCUGUUCGCCGGUGCCCCGACGGGGCUUGAUAGGGAAGAGGGGUGCAAAUCCCCCGCGGACCCGCCGCUGUGAGCGAGGACGAAGGGCCGACAGCCACUGAUCAAUACGAUCGGGAAGGCGGCCCGGAGGAUGAUUCGCGAGCCAGAAGACCUGCCGGAACGAACCCGCCACA